rnacentral:rRNA from 1 species
CCUAGGGGAGUCAGCAGUGGGGGAUAUUGCACAAUGGGGGGAACCCUGAUGCAGCGACGCCGCGUGGGUGAAGAAGCGCCUCGGCGCGUAAAGCCCUGUCAGCAGGGAAGAAAAUGACGGUACCUGAAGAAGAAGCCCCGGCUAACUACGUGCCAGCAGCCGCGGUAAUACGUAGGGGGCAAGCGUUAUCCGGAUUUACUGGGUGUAAAGGGAGCGUAGACGGCUGUGCAAGCCAGAUGUGAAAGCCCGGGGCUCAACCCCGGGACUGCAUUUGGAACUGUGUGGCUGGAGUGUCGGAGAGGCAGGCGGAAUUCCUAGUGUAGCGGUGAAAUGCGUAGAUAUUAGGAGGAACACCAGUGGCGAAGGCGGCCUGCUGGACGAUGACUGACGUUGAGGCUCGAAAGCGUGGGGAGCAAACAGGAUUAGAUACCCCUGUAGUC